ACCAAAGUAUUAUUGUGCUGUACGAAGAGUGGUGAUAUUAUUGUGGUAGAUGAAGAUGAUGGAUUGGCGAAGUAUAAUAAAAAUGGACAAUUUCUAGAUCUACAUUCUUAUCCUAAUUACGAUCUUAGAUCCAAAGUCACUAUGUAUAUAGAUUCUCUGCUUUUACUCCCCGGUGAUGGUGACAACAAGUCAGAUUAAGAAGAAUGAGGUUUGAAUUCAUUAUUUUCUUGCUAUUUAUAUUGAACUAAAGCAUAGUUCAGAAUUUAACAAGGCAGGUUGAUCCUAAAUGGAUGUAGCUGGAUUUUAUUCUAAUAUAUGUUUUUGUUACUACUUAAAAGUAAAUUAUUCCAAUGAGUUUAUGCAUGUUGAUCAAGAAGAUCACAACUAUAUAACUCUGACUCAAAGCAAUUCCUUAAAUAUUUGAUCAUAAAUAGAUAUGUAUUUGAAUGAAAUAGAAGGUUUUGUUCUCUAAUUUCGGUGGACGGUAAUAAUUUU
rnacentral:lncRNA from 1 species